GGGCGGUUAGCUCAGUUGGUAGAGCGCCUGCCUUACAAGCAGGAUGUCGCGGGUUCGAGUCCCUCACUGCCCA
rnacentral:tRNA from 22 species